CAAACAGGAUUAGAUACCCUGGUAGUCCACGCCGUAAACGAUGUCGACUUGGAGGUUGUGCCCUUGAGGCGUGGCUUCCGGAGCUAACGCGUUAAGUCGACCGCCUGGGGAGUACGGCCGCAAGGUUAAAACUCAAAUGAAUUGACGGGGGCCCGCACAAGCGGUGGAGCAUGUGGUUUAAUUCGAUGCAACGCGAAGAACCUUACCUGGUCUUGACAUCCACGGAAGUUUUCAGAGAUGAGAAUGUGCCUUCGGGAACCGUGAGACAGGUGCUGCAUGGCUGUCGUCAGCUCGUGUUGUGAAAUGUUGGGUUAAGUCCCGCAACGAGCGCAACCCUUAUCCUUUGUUGCCAGCGGUCCGGCCGGGAACUCAAAGGAGACUGCCAGUGAUAAACUGGAGGAAGGUGGGGAUGACGUCAAGUCAUCAUGGCCCUUACGACCAGGGCUACACACGUGCUACAAUGGCGCAUACAAAGAGAAGCGACCUCGCGAGAGCAAGCGGACCUCAUAAAGUGCGUCGUAGUCCGGAUUGGAGUCUGCAACUCGACUCCAUGAAGUCGGAAUCGCUAGUAAUCGUGGAUCAGAAUGCCACGGUGAAUACGUUCCCGGGCCUUGUACACACCGCCCGUCACACCAUGGGAGUGGGUUGCAAAAGAAGUAGGUAGCUUAACCUUCGGGAGGGCGCUUACCACUUUGUGAUUCAUGACUGGGGUGAAGUCGUAACAAGGUAACCGUA
rnacentral:rRNA from 1 species